UACAGAGGGUGCGAGCGUUAAUCGGAUUUACUGGGCGUAAAGCGUGAGUAGGUGGCUCGCUAAGUCGAUUGUGAAAGCCCUGGGCUCAACCUGGGAAUUGCAGUCGAUACUGGUGAGCUAGAGUUCGGUAGAGGGUGACGGAAUUCCCGGUGUAGCGGUGAAAUGCGUAGAUAUCCGGAGGAACACCGGUGGCGAAGGCGGCUUCCUGGACCGACUACUGACGCUGAGGCGCGAAAGCUAGGGGAGCAAACGGG
rnacentral:rRNA from 1 species